rnacentral:rRNA from 1 species
GUGUGUCCGGGAUGUGUGGGGGGGUAAUGCGGGGGGGGCAAGUGGGAUGCGGAAUCAGUGGGUUUAAAGGGGGCGUAGGCGGUGGCGUAAGUCAGUUGUGAAAUUCCCCGGCUUAACCGGUGGGACUGCGAGUGAUACUGCGUGACUUGAAUCAGGUUGAGGUAGGCGGAAUGUGACAUGUAGCGGUGAAAUGCUUAGAUAUGUCAUAGAACACCGAUUGCGAAGGCAGCUUGCUGGACCUGUAUUGACGCUGAGGCACGAAAGCGUGGGGAGCAAACAGGAUUAGAUACCCCGGUAGUC